GUCACCUGUCAGUGGAUUUAAUGUUAUGGUUGAUUGGUGCAUGUUACAGCAGCUAUUAAAAAUGGUUUCCUCCCCAGCUUCUCUUUUUAUUCUCUCUUAAAGUUAAAACUUAAUGUCACAGCUUUAACUCUGAUUGAUACAAAGUGCUGACACUGGAGACUCCUUCCAUAAUGGUGUAAUAAACGUCUCCUUCCAGAAAAGUUCAUCAUACGAACAAUUACUUUUUGUUUUUAAACUAUUUAUGUGGAGUAUUCACAAUACAAGUUACUUUGAAUGAGCUGUGACUAUAAAAACAAUGACGUAUUAAAACAAGCACAUUAAUAUAAACAUGAGUUUGCAGCUGAACUACUUUAUAGGGGGAAAAAUCAACCAGUCAGAAUCAAGCAUUCAACAGCACUGAGGUAUAAAAGGUCAGUGGUCAGUUGUGAAUGGUUUGUAUUUUUCUUGUAAAUUUGUAUUGUAAUGCUGUGGGUGUACAUGAGGCUGCUUUUCAGCACAUAAAGAGUGAAGGAGAUUUUAGAAAAAAGUUGUGGUCAGAGCGCUUCCGCUCUCCUGCAUCUAAAACACAACUGAAGUGUUUCCUGACUGAAGCAGAACGAUUUCAGAGUGCUUCUUAACAGGGUUCCAGAGUCAGCAUGACAAUGGUACUUUGGUUCUGUGAGUAAAGUUGUUAAUUCACCAUUUUACCUUAGAAGUUAUUUAUCUCUUUGAACAGAUGAGUGGAUUCUAAACCACUGAUGUGUGGUGUUGUUUUUUACUAGAUCUACUUGUGUGCUGUGGAGCUGCAGAAGGUUUCACAGAGAAGUCGGUAAAUUUGGGACAAAAUGUGACUCUAAAGUGUGAGGUCUCUGUAAGAGAUGUGUUCUGGUUCCUGAUCAAGCCAUCAGAAUCUCUGGUGUUUAUAUUACGCUCUUACUCGAGUAUUAUCCUGGAGCCAGUAUACAGCAACUUGACCUUCAGCAAGAUAUACUCAGUGCAAUAUAACAGCAGUUUAUUUAUACACAAUAUCAGUACUAAUGAAUUAGGAGUAUAUUAUUGUAUUCAAACUGGUUCACCUUACAAAAUCAGCCGUGGAAUCAGACUUUACAUCCGGAAUCAUUCAGCUGGUGAGUUUAUUUAAAGUAAAGUUACAGUAAUAUCCUUUAAUAACCGUGUUGAACAGGUUUUUGAUUGAAGUGACUUUUGUUUUAUUUCAAUUCUAGUGUAGAAAUGAUUUGAUUGUGUAUGCAUUUCUGUUGACAACUCCAAGAACUUAUAGUUCAAAAAAAUUAUAGCAUUUCUGAUUUUCUGGGAUUUUUUAAAAUAAUAUGAUUUAAAAAAAAUAAUAAUUACAACUGCCCAUUACUGCCAAGUUAUUAUAUACAGUACAUUAUUGUCUUAUUAGCCUGUUUGACUGCUCACUUGAAUGGAAUAGCCGUUACCUUAAAUCUAAUAUGUUCUGUCAGUGGAAAGAUGAAAAACAGAAAUCUCUACAGUGCCGAGAAAUAUUAAUAUUACAAAAUAUUAUUCUACAAAUGUAAUUAAUAAGCUGUACCGAAGGCGUCCUUGGAAUUUGAUUUUACAUCUAAAGUGGUACCUGUCUGUGUUAAAACUUUGAGGACCCACAAUGCAGACCUUCAUCCGUGUCUGAUACAAAAUCCAUUGUAGAUAAACUAGUGUGCAUAGUGGAAUUAAAACUGUCUGAAUUUUCCAAAUUGUUUCCAGAUAAUCGGACAGGCAGCAAAGAAGCCGUCCUCUUGCCGAUUCUCAUCAUAUCAGUAAUAAUGAUCUUUGUUCUGGCCGUUCCAGUUGCAGUUCGUCACUGCAGAAGAUUUCGAAAAACUCGAGCACAACCUUCAGAUCCUGGUUUACAGUCGCGUCAGGACAGUACCGACCAUGUGGUAGGCUAACUGCUCUUUCUUUUGGCCUUUUGCUUUUGUUUGAUUGUUUUUUAACAAUACGUUAAAUGAUUUUCCAAUUUAAAACUUCAUGCGCUUACACCCAGGUCAUUUUCACCUGAUUAAUUAAAUUAAAUGAUAAAAUAAACUGUCCUGCAAUCAGGAAGAUCCCCGGGUGUGGUAGUGUCUACUGUGGACUCCGUUUCCAUCAGUGUAGUUUAUUGUAAUCAUUGAGAUGAAUUAGAUGAUCGAGUCGUUGUAGAUGUGGGUACGGUGCCUGCUGCAGCGAAGACGGAAAGUCCCACGUUUGAAAGCUGCAUCGUGCUUAAUCUCACUGUAAUUAAUCUUCUUUAUAAUGUGCUCAAUAAAACAAAAAACUGUUUACAGGCUGAAAACAUAAAUAGAUUAACGUGAACUGAAAGUAAGGAGGCGUAAAUAAAUAUUUGGUAUAUUUGGAAAUAAUCCUGUUACUAGUACAUUUUAAAAGUACUUUUAAAAAUCCAAUUGAUUUGUACACUUUAUAAUUCCUGUGCUGUGGUGUACAUACAGUGCUGUGGUUAUAUGUACAAUACAAACAGUUCACACACCAGGACGGCUCUGCUCUUACACUGCAGUGUGAAAAAACAUGGUUUGUUUUAGACACGUCCAUAAGUGUGUGAACUUUGUCAUACUUCAGUUUCACACACUAAUGUACUACAUUUAAUAUUUUUUUCCACCACCGUGUCGCGUCUUGAUCAUAUGCAUUAACGUAUUAAAGUUGCUUUUAUUAAUCCUGUCACAUCGCAUCAUUCUUUCAGUACGCCGAGGUGCAGUUCAGCACGACGAACGGACCCGUCAGGACGGCUAACCUUGACAGCACGUACGCUCUUGUAAAUCUGUGACCCGGAGUGACCCCACGCAACACCUUGGACCACACGUGACGUUUUAUCAUAUUCAUAAAGAAGGCCCGUUUCUGCAGCUUCCGUGUAUGGACAAUUCGCAAAUGAUUCGUUUGUAAAAACCAGAUGAACUGAUUCACAAGCAUGAACAAAUCUUUUUUAUUUUUAUUUUUUAAGGCCUAAAUUUAUAGAUGUGCUUUUGUAGAUGCUAUUCGAGUUGCUAAUCAAAAAACUCACAUUGUUAAGAGUCACUUAAUGAGAUGAUUUGGAAGAUUCAAAUCACUUAAGUGAGUCAUUGGACUGAAAUGAGUCAUGCUUCAAACCCUGAUAAUGUUUAAUUAGUGUUUGUACUAGAGUGUCAGCCAUUUUGAGAAACAUUUUACAAAAGGCGGCGUGGGGGUGGGGUUGGGGGGCCAGGCAUUGCCGUCUAUCUCUCGCAGGACAAGAUAUUUUCCCAUAAUGCCCUGGCAGUGUUUCAGUUAUGCUGCAUUUAGACUGACCUCGUUAGUGUAGGAAGUUGGAAGUUACAUCAUUUUCGACCUCUGUGCAUUCAGGCUACAAUGUGGGGGGAAACCAUGGACGCCUCCAUGCCAGCUAACUGCGAUGAGUAUAGAAAAUAUCUAUGAAGUGUAAUCAAUAUGUGUAACUAACAUUUGGAUAUGUUAAUGAAGUGUAAUCAAUAUGUAACCAACAUUUAGAAUUAUUACUUAAGCAUAAUCGAAUAAUCAAUAUUAGUUAAAAAGCAUAACCUAUAUGCAUAAUCAAUAGUUAGAAGCAUAAUCUAAAUCCAUAGAACAAUGUUUGAUCAAGUUAUAUUCUGAGUGUGUGUUGAGUUAGAUGAACUCUGGUGUCUUACUGUACACUAAUUGUUCUUUCUGUACCAGCCGGUAUCCUCCUCCACAGAAGCAGAUAUAACUUUGAGGCCGAUACCAAUUAAUGAGCUAGGGGAAGGCUUGGGGAAAAAAGGCGAGUGUGGAUCAAGGUCAGGACACAAGCCUGUGUGAAACCUUUUUUUUUUAAAAAGAAGAAACAACCAUGACCUCAUGAAAUCGUAACUGCGCAUGCUCCACAAAUUUAAGAUAACACAUAGACAUGAAUAUUUAUUUGUGGCAAAGAAGAUUGGUCUGUUUUCAUGAGGUAAGGCAAAACCCCACCUACAAUGACUACACAUGGAGGAAGGUAUAUAAAAUGCUGUGUGUGCUUGCAUAAUUCGGACUUUCUGCAGACUGUCACACUUUAUUGUUUCAAUAAAGUUUAUUUACUUUUUGACAUCUACUAAA